rnacentral:rRNA from 1 species
GAGCGGACGGGCUACCUGCAGUCGAGGGGUAGAAAGAGCUUGCUUUUUUGAGACCGGCGCACGGGUGAGUAACGCGUAUGCAACCUACCUUAUACAGGGGAAUAGCCCGAAGAAAUUCGGAUUAAUGCUCCAUGGUUUAUCGAUAUGGCAUCGUAUUGAUAAUAAAGAUUUAUCGGUAUAAGAUGGGCAUGCGUAUCAUUAGCUAGUUGGUGUGGUAACGGCAUACCAAGGCAACGAUGAUUAGGGGUCCUGAGAGGGAGAUCCCCCACACUGGUACUGAGACACGGACCAGACUCCUACGGGAGGCAGCAGUGAGGAAUAUUGGUCAAUGGAGGCAACUCUGAACCAGCCAUGCCGCGUGCAGGAUGACGGUCCUAUGGAUUGUAAACUGCUUUUGUACAGGAAGAAACCUCCCUACGAGUAGGGACUUGACGGUACUGUAAGAAUAAGGAUCGGCUAACUCCGUGCCAGCAGCCGCGGUAAUACGGAGGAUCCGAGCGUUAUCCGGAAUUAUUGGGUUUAAAGGGUUCGUAGGCGGCUAUAUAAGUCAGUGGUGAAAUUUCCUAGCUUAACUAAGACACUGCCAUUGAUACUGCAUAACUUGAAUAAUAUGGAAGUAACUAGAAUAUGUAGUGUAGCGGUGAAAUGCUUAGAUAUUACAUGGAAUACCAAUUGCGAAGGCAGGUUACUACGUAUUUAUUGACGCUGAUGAACGAAAGCGUGGGGAGCGAACAGGAUUAGAUACCCUGGUAGUCCACGCCGUAAACGAUGGAUACUAGGCUGUUCGGUUUUCGGACUGAGUGGCUAAGCGAAAGUGAUAAGUAUCCCACCUGGGGGAGUACGUUCGCAAGAAUGAAACUCAAAGGAAAUUGACGGGGGCCCGCACAAGCGGUGGAAGCAUGUGGUUUAAUUCGAUGAUACGCGAGGAACCUUACCAGGGCUUAAAUGUAGAUUGACAGAUUUGGAAACAGAUUUUUCUUCGGACAAUUUACAAGGGGGCUGCAUGGUUGUCGCCAGCU